rnacentral:lncRNA from 1 species
GGAUAGAGAGACAGAGUGGGAGCAGGUAAAGGGCAGAGAGAGAGAGGGACACAGAAUCCGAAGCAGGCUCCAGGCUCCGAGCUGUCGGCACAGAGCCCGACGCGGGGCUCGAACCCACAAGCCUUGAGAUUGUGACCUGAGCUGAAGUCGGACGCUGAACCAACUGAGUCACCCAGGCACUCCUCUAACAUUUCAGACCUCAGUUGUGUUGAGAACUAUCUCAAACCUGAGGGAAACAAUUUCAGAACUUCCAAUGACCUGCUUAUAUGUUCUCCAUGUGAGAUAAGCCUUGUGUCGAGCUGUUAACAGAUAGCAAGGGGGCUGCGGCCGCUAGACCAGCGAUAGAGCUGUGCACACACCCAAGGAGCUCUGACUUUCAAUACGAUUGCACUGGCCAGUCCUGCUUAUAUGUUAUAAAAAACUUACUUGCUCCCAGAGGGUGAAUGGAUGAACACCAGCCCAUCCAAUUUAACUUUGGCGAAGGGCUACAUCCUGGUUCUUGUCACGUACAGGAAAUGGGAGGCAUUUUCAUGCUGGCAUUUGGCUUGGCUCAGCAAUCCUUCUACCUUCUUGACGGCGCUUAUAUCGGUCUUCUCGAGUCUUUUAGCCUCUGGUCAGUCAGUACUGUUUCUGUCACAGCUUAUCAGUUGCCAUUCUAAAAUCAAGGGGGAUAGCAUAGUUUGAUCGUUUUUCUCCUCACAAAUGGGUCGACGUGCGCAGUCCCUAAUGGGGGACAGGAGUGACAUCUCAUGAUGUCGUUGAAAGACGUCUCAUGAGGUCUCAUGAAGUCAUUGAAAACAAUGUGCCUCCGGGCAGGACAUCCUGGCACAGGGAGGGCGUUGGUGAGGGUGGGGAGGCUGGAGAGGCUGGCACUUGCGGGGAACUUCGGGUGAUGGGUGUGGCUGGAGGGGAAGGGACCCAGGGCCGCUGGAGGAGGGUAAAGGUAGACAGGUGAGCAAGAGCCAGCUCUCGGGGCCAUCCGUGCCCCGUGCACAGUCAGCCUUGUCCUUCUGGGAGUGUCGCACCACGUGAAGCUGGGGUAUGGUGUGGUCAGACAUCAUUUCCUAAGACUGCGUCGGGCAAGGGGUGUGUCAGGUGACCUCCGUGUGGUCUAAGCUGAGAACGACGAGGACCUCAACUCAGACGGGAGGACAGUGAGAGGAGACACCUCCUCGAUGCUUGGGGACAGAGGCCCGACCGUCCGUGAUGAGUCGGAGGCAGGUGGAAAGAGGAAGGGGAUUUUUUUGACGACACUGAUGGCUCCCAGACUGGGGUGAGAGCUGUGAAGACAGGUUUUCUAAGAGCCACUGGAUGGAGGCUCUGAUGGAGGCGAAGAAGGGUCGCGCCGGGCCUGGCCGGGGCGGAGGCGGUCAACUGGUCUGAAUGGCCGUGGGCUGCGAGAGGUGUAGACGAGACUGUGGCUCCAGACUGGAGCCAGCAGCGUGCUAUCUCAGAGAGACCUCGCCUUGCUAACCUGGUCCACCCGGUGGCCGGGGAGUCCCGGGCCUGAAGGGGUUGCUGUGUUAGAGUCAGGGCGUCAGAGUCUUUGAGGAAGGAGAGUCUGAACAAUGACAGGCAGCCGUUGGCCAGCUGGUAGGCUCUCUCUUCGUUUGCCUCCUGCCAGGUGAGGGACUUGCUGCAUCUCGGCCGCUCAGAGUGACAGAGUAGAGGGAUGGUGUCCUUCUGUCUCUUUUACGUUAUUGUCUUCCCUUGUUGGCUAACUAAGCUCAAACGAAUUACCCUGCAUCUUAUGGCUAGACAAGGGGGGAGAAAAGCCCUGAGUACUUUCCACCAGGUCAAAGGUGGCUGGUUCUGCACCCCCCGGGUGGAAAAAUGAUCUUAGACUUUCAGGGACCACAGCAGCUUGCUUUGGUAAAUGUUCCAUUUUCAAGUAACUUACUUCUUGGUGAAGCUCUUUAAAGAGGGGACGUGGUGUUCUUCCCAGACACCCGUGCUCUCGCUGCCGGCCUCACAUAGGUUGCUUGAAGCAGCCACAUGUUUUAGGACCAUAAAGAGCCUUACGGGGGAAGGAGUUCAACCCUGUCCCCGGAUGAAGAGGGAACAUGAUCCAGAAAAGACAAAAUAACAUUUCCAGAGAUAAACAGUGUGUUAACAGUGGUGAGGAUGAAAAUGAACAAAAACACAGGUUUCUUUUUUUUUUAAUUUAUUUUUAAAAAAAAUUUUUAAUCUUUAUUUUUGAGAAAGAGAGAGAGAGCGCGCAGGGGAGGGGCAGAGAGGGAGACACAGAAUCCGAAACAGGCUCCAGGCUCUGAGAUGUCAGCUCUGAGCUCUGAGCCCGACGCGGGGCUCAAACUCACGGACCUCGAGAUCAUGACCUGAGCCGAAGUCGGACGCUUAACCGGCUGAGCCGCUCAGGCGCCCCCAAAAACACAGGUUUCUUAAAUUUCAGUUAAAUAUUCUUUCCCCUUGCUGUCUAAGAAGGAAGAUAUUUCAAAGACUCUGGACACAUAGAGACAAAAGAUAGAUGAUAGAUAGAUAGAUAAUACUUUGUCAUUUAUGUCUAUAAAUGACACACGCAUUUGGUCCUUAAACCAAACUGUUGUGUAGUCAGGGAAAAUAUUUUUAUCCCCAUUUUACAGAUGAGGAAACAGAGUCAUAAUAGCAUCAAAUGGUUUUCCCAAAUUCACAGAGCAAGAGCAUAACGCAAUUGAGAACAGAAACUAUUCCUGGUUCCAACUCCUCUCUUUCUAGUCGAUUUAUUACAUAAUACAGAGGAAUUCCGGGUUCAGCACUCAUUUGCUCCACUCAGUAGACAAGAGUUACCGAAGCAUGCACUUGUGUUAUAUCCUGUUAAGUUCGCUACAUCCCAAGCUGCCCGACGAUAAAGCAGCCUCUAGGCACUAGCCCUUUCGGUUCAUUCCUUCCUUCAAUCACUUCCUUAAAACAUAUUAAAUAUUUUUUUUCAUUAGUGGAGGUCCAUUGACACUUGGGAAAAUUUAUUUAUUUUUAUUUUUUAAAAAAGUGAUUGAUGGGGCACCUGGGUGGCUUAAUCGGUUAAGUGUCUGACUUCGGCUCAGGUCACGAUCUCGAGGUCCGUGAGUUCGAGCCCCGUGUCGGGCUCCGUGCCGACCGCUCAGAGCCUGGAGCCUGUUUCCGAUUCUGUGUCUCCCUUUCUCUCUCUGACCCUCCCCCGUUCAUGCUCUGUCUCUCUCUGUCUCAAAAAUAAAUAAAUGUUUUUUAAAAAAAAAAAAGCGAUUGAUGAAUUGUAAACUAAAGCUCUUGACCCUGCCUAAGACAACUGUGUUUAUACUUACCCUGUGGCUCUGCAACCCCACCUGCUGGGAUGUGCCCUGAGGUGCACCUCUGACUGUAUGAAAAUGGAAGUGCGCAAAGCAGUUCAGGGCAGCCAGGUUAGCUAAAUGCCCGAGCAUAGGACAUAGGGUGGCUGAGCCAUGGGGCACUCAUACAGCUGUUCGAGAAAGCAAGAAAAGUGCUGAGAAAUCGGCAGAAUGUGAUUUCCAGGAAAUGUGAUUCAGCAAAAAAUGGCAGAUUGCAAAGGAGCACGUAGAGGAUGCGUUCUGUGGAGAACACAAGGAAACAGACAUUACCUGCUCACCUUUACAGAAGGCAACAGAGUGAAGAUAAACCAGAAGACAAUGAAACUGGCUUCCUACGAGGGGUUGGGGGAGAGACAGAACGGAAGGCACACGGGAGGGAAGGACCUUCUCUCUGGAUGUCUCCAAGGAUAGCUUUGACCUUCAGAAGCAUAUUCACAGUACUUACAAAUGUAAAAUUAAAUCAAUAAAAAUGGGAAGGGGGAAAACAUGGAAGGAAACCGAAACAAAGGAAGAAGCGAGGGUGUGUGCCCCUUCCAGGGCGGGUGAGCAACUUUGUGGGAGUGCUGAGUGAGGAGGCCGUCACGCACAAGUGGACAAACCGGAACCCUCCAUGGAAGCCAGUUCUGGGCAGAUAGAGAUUCACAGCAGAAUACUCGCCAGAUCUUCGAGUGUCUCCCUACAGAUAGAUCGCUUGCUAGUUUCAAGUGGAACGAAAGGAGUGAUUACACGGAGGGAAAUCAGGCAAGGCCCAGAUCAGGAUUCAGACCACAUGAGCCAGAUGGACAGCGAGAGAUUCCAGAUGCAUAUUCUGAUAAAGACACCACCUCCCCUUGGUAGUAUUUCGGCUGAAAAUGCGUAACCUGAAUCGAACCGUGAGGAAACAUCAAAUCCACACGGAGAAAUGGCUUAUUAAGAAUAGGGAGAUGAGGGGCGCCUGGGUGGCGCAGUCGGUUAAGCGCCCGACUUCAGCCAGGUCAUGAUCUCGCGGUCCGUGAGUUCGAGCCCCGCGUCGGGCUCUGGGCUGAUGGCUCGGAGCCUGGAGCCUGUUUCCGAUUCUGUGUCUCCCUCUCUCUCUGCCCCUCCCCCGUUCAUGCUCUGUCUCUCUCUGUCCUAAAAAUAAAUAAACGUUGAAAAAAAAUUAAAAAAAAAAAAAAAAGAAUAGGGAGAUGAGAUGUCUAUAUUCUUCCAAAAUGUCUGUGUCAUAAAAGACAAAGAAAGGUUCUGGAAAUGUGCCAGAUGGGAAGGAUUCUAAGAAAUAGGGCAAUUAAAGGCAAUCCUCGACCCCUGACUGUAUUCUGUUCUGUGGGGUCUGGGGGGGGUAUUCUAGAAAACACCAACUGGGUGGAAAAAACUGGAGUAUGGACAGCAACCAGAUGAACAUACGCAUCAGUAACUUUAAUUUACCGAAGUUGGCCACAGUGCUGUCUUUAUAUAAGAAAAUAUUCCUAUUCUUAGGAAAUACACAAUGAAAUAUGUUGGGGGGCAAAGGGUCUCACUCAUAACUGAUUUAAAGAAUAGAGUGCACACAAGUGACAUGCAAAUGGAAAUAAAAGGUCAGCAAGAGGGGAAUCUGGGUGUUCGUGGUAUCAUUUUUAUGCUUGCAACUUUUCUGUAAAUUCGAAAUUACUUCCAAAUAAAAAUCUUGAAAAGUGAGUGCUGAGGGGCGCCUGGGUGGCUCAGUCGGUUGAGCGGCCGACUUCAGCUCAGGUCAUGAUCUCACGGUCUGUGGGUUCGAGCCCCGCGUCGGGCCCUGUGCUAACAGCUCGGAGCCUGGAGCCUGUUUCGGAUUCUGUCCCUCCCCUGCUCACUCUGUCUGCCUCUCUCUCUCUCUCUCCCCCUCCUUCUCUCUCUCUCAAAAAUAAAUAAACAUUAAAAAAAUGUUUAAAAAGUGAGUGCUGAAAUAUACAUAGGUGAAAUAUUUAGGAUGAGUUAGGCUGCUUUAUGGAAGAAGACGAAUGGAUACGAUGUGAUUAAAUUUCUGUAUUUACGUGAUCGGUUUUAGCAUCCGAACAUGAUGCGCAGCUAUGAUAUCCUCCUUCUGAAAAGAAACCUUCUGAAAGUCCUCACUACUCUUUGGCUGUGUUAUGUUGCUUGAGCUCAUUUUCUUCAUUUAUAACAUAGACUUUGGGAGCUAAGGGAUUAGUCUCAUUAGAUAAUCGAAUGUUCUUUCUGGCUCUACCAAUCAGUGAUUAGACCAAAUGUUUAUUUUCUGAUUUCAGCUACUCACAACAUUAAAUAAGCUACUUUCAGAUUCUCCAUGUCUCCAAUAUCCUCUUGAGAAUCAUUUUCUCAUGACUCAGAAAUUCUUUUAGGCAUAGAAACGACUGUGCUUAGUGGGUCAACAGGAACAUGGGUUUUUCUAACAAGGUGUUUACAAAACAGGCCGCCAUGUCUGGGCCGGUGACUUUGAUUUUGCUGGUUCUUUCUAUCUGUUCUUGGAAGUGGUCCAAAUUAACACCCCAGUAUCCUAAGAUCUCACUUCUUCUCCAAAUGAAAAGAAUCUGGGAAAAGAAAAAUGAACUGGUCUCUGAGUGGGCGAAGGAGCGCCCGCACUAAAACCGAGCCCCUCCCGGUGUUCGAAGAACCUCAAAGUCCCCUGCAGACCUUGUUGUUCCUACAGUCCUCCUCGGUCGGGGUCUGGAAGCAGUAGCCUGGAGCAGUGAAGCCCAGCUCAAAGCCAGUAUCUUCCCCUCACGGUGGGGAGCCACGGAGCUCCCUCAGAGACCACAGUGCCUUUGCUCCCCCCCCCCACAUCCCUUCCACAGUUGGGCGAAAUGGCUUCCAAGCCCAUAUAACGUCCUAUAAUUUGAUGUGUUCUUUCCCUGAACAAAAGGGGAGAGGAUCCCAGUCCUCACCAAGAUGUCCCCCCCACUGGAAACGGACAAGGAGGCCCUGGCUUGUACAUCAGUUUCUCGAAAGUCUUCACGGAAGCUCCUCCUUCCUGCUCUGCUGGGGUGGCGUCAGUAACACGGAGUUUCCAGGCGUGCAAGGUGGGUGACGCAUCUCCAGCUACAAUCGUUUACGGCCCAGCAGCGGAGCCUGCCUGCCUGCUUGACGUCGAUUACCUGGCCAUCCUCAGCAGAGCUGAACUUAUUUUUGGCUCCGACAAUGACGCCUGCAUUCCAGAACCGCUUCCGUUGGCCCCUCCACACCCCGCCAGCAUGAGACUGGCAUGUCCUCGCUCGAGGUCGCGUCCGGUCACCGCUUCACUUGGCUGCUGCCCUGUCUCUCCUCUUACUUCUUCAGAUGCUCUCUCCAAUUUUCCUUCUAAAACACCAUUUCAUCUCUUUCUGAAAACCCAUCAAGGCCUGGGACACACUUCCAACUCUUUAGCGAGGCCACGAGGCCCCUCACUACCUGCUCACCUCCAGCCCGACACUGGAGUGCCCUGACAUGUUGCAAACCAUCCACCCUCUUGAGCCUCCGGGCUUGCUCUCUGUCUACACUGCGGAGCUCCCUCCAGCCUCCAGGACCUGCCUGGGUGUGAGCUGCCCCAGGCCUCUUCUCUGCCCAACGGUCCUCUCUGGGGACAGCGCUCAGCCCAGGGCGUCUUGUGCACAUGCACCUGUUCCCCUCUGCUGGAUGGGGGCCUGGAGGGGAGAUCCUGGGACGUCGGGGUUUGGAGCCCAGUGAUUACUGAAGGAAUAUAAUGUUUGACUUCUAGAGUGGGCAUUCCAAAGUUUCAGGAACUGGAAGGCAGUUCCUCUUACAGCAGGCAUAAGGCUUGGGCGGGAAGGGAAGGACUAUGAGGGACAAGGAAAGAAGGGGGGAGAGGAAGAAGUGAUUGAAGAAGAAAGUGAGGAAGAGAGAGGAUGACUCCUCAGGGACCACCCACAGACCUAACGGUGCUCUUGGGCAGGGGGCUCACAUACUCUCACACGGAUCUUUCAUUUGGGGGAUAUUGUGGCAGAACAAAGAACCCCCCCCAACAGCCUCCAAGCUCACCUUCUUCUGCUUGCGGACAAAUCAAGCAUCUCUUGAAUGUGUGGUGAGGUGAAGAACUUCAGUGAGGCUAACUCUAGUUUUUAUGUGACUAUAAGCAAAGAUUAAAAAAAAAAAAUCCCAUGAUCAUGAAGCUGGCAUUUUAGCUUUUAUUUUUCAUUUCGUUUUUUUAAAACAUGUUUAUUUACUUUUGAGAGAGAGAGAGAGGAGAGAGAGAAUCCCAAGCAGGCUCUGAGCUGCCGGCACAGAGCCUGAUGCAGGGCUUGAACUCGUGAACUGUGAGAUCAUGACCUGAGUCGAAGUCGGACCCUCCACCGACUCAGCCACCCAGGCGCCCCUGAGGCUAGCAUUUGAGUGAGGAGCUAGAAUAAACAGGGCGAAUCAGUUAACUGGAAAUAGCCCAGGUAGGAAGAUGAAGUAAGGCCAGGGACAGGAAGUGUGUUCAAGUUUUAGGCAGGGUGGCCCCUAGAGCUUCCCAAGGAUGCCCGGGUACAGGUGAGGAGGGGAAGGGAAUGAGCCUAGUUAGGAUUCAGCAGCAGAAGGGUCCAGAGAGGGAUCGGCACGUGUGCACCUCUCCACGUGGGCGCCAAAAAAGGCCGGGGGGGGGGGCUGGGGACCACGGAGCAGGGAGGCAAGAGGCAUGAGCCCUGACGGCCGGGGAUGGGGGGUAAGGGGGGCAGGACUGGCAGAUCAUUUUGAGGACCUCGCUUCCUCGGGCCUGGAGGGACUUUUCCUAGAGAAGGAACAUGGUUUGGAACUCUACGGGAAAGACAGCAGCGACCGACAGGAGGUGGGAUUGGGGGAGCGUCAGCGGGGAGGUAGCGACUUGGCAUCCGGGCAUAUGUAGAGGUAGAGGGCACAGAAUUUGCUGAUGGAUGGAACGUGAGGGAAGGAGAACACAGGAGUCCUUGUUACUGCAGCGUUUUCGGCCUCAGGGCAGCAGAAAGGUUGAAACGUUCGUUCAUUGACCGACGUGGGAAAAGCCGCAGGACAAGCAGGUUUGGGGCGAAGGUAACAUCCGGAACCUAGUUACAGCCCUGUUAGGUGUGCCUUCCGGGCAUCCAGGCGGAGGUGUGACUCAGACUGGGGGUCCAGCCUCAUCUUCUGGGUUCAGAUAGGACUGGACCGGGGGGCUGAGUGAGAGCAGCAGGGCUGGAGGCGUGGGACAUGAUAAGGGGCCGUGGGCCAGUCCUACAGCCUUCCAACAUACAGCCUAUAUGUCCUUCCAACAGUAGGAAGCUGGGCAGAUACAGCUUCAACAGAUGCGACCCCAGGGGACGGCCAGUAAGGGAGGAGGCAGUCCCGGGAGUGUGGUGUCCUGAAGGCCGAGAGAAGGACGUGUCGAUGCGAGGGAAGCGUGAACUCUGCCCCGUGUGGCUAGCAAGUCAGACGAGGUGAGGACUGAAAAUUCGCCUUUGUCCGGAGUGGCGCGGGCUGGCAGGGGGCCGGGGGAACAGCAGAGUUUCUCUGAGUAGUUGAGGCAGAUGUCUUAAGACAGUGUUACUGGGGCUGGUCGAGAGCAGGUGGGAGGUGAGAAGCCAGAGCCAGUCCAGGGCGCGGGCUGGGUGCUGUUGGCUGUGAACAGGAGGGAGGCUGGGUGGGGUGAGGGAGAAGAGGGGCUGCGGAUGGUCGUCUUCCUGCAGGAGAGCCCAGGGCGGUGUGUGUGUGUGUGUGUGUGUGUGUGUGUGUGUUGGAGAGCAAACUGCACAUGACUUGGGAUUAGGCCAUGCCGAGGGGGAGGGUGAAGGCAUUUCCUCUACUGGAAGAGGGGCUGGGGUCCAGUGCCCAAGUGGCAGGGUGACUGUGUACGGGGCAGGAUCACCCGGGAGGAGCCUUCUCCCACAGGCUGGGUCACCGCUGGCUGGGAAGGUCUCUGCAGACACCACACUCUUGGUUGCCUGCUGUCCCCAGGCCCAGCUCGGGGGUCUUGGGGAAGCAAAGGGGUUCGGGUUCACUUUGGCCACGUUUGUGGAAGCCUUUGCGAGCGCAGGUGAGGCUCCUGUGGUGUGCAGGGCGCCUCGGAACUCAAUCUUUCGUGUUCCUGGGUGAGAAGCCCGGGGCGGCGCCCAGCGAGGGGUGGGGGUGGGUGCGCUCCCCUGGGCGGGCGUGGGCCCAGCCAUCAGGCCCCCUCCGGCAACUGCGCGUGGGGGGCGUAAGCCCACGGAUUCCCUUGAGCGGGGUUUUGGCGGCGGAACCGCCCCUUGGGGCGCCCCCCACCCCCGCACCCCCACCCAGGCGCGCGCACCCCUGGGGGCUCCGGGUGGAGGGCGAGCGGGUUUGGGUUGGCAUAGGAGCGCAGAGGGAGGCGACACCCCGGCCCCAGCCGCUGCCCUGCGCCACGUGGCCGCUCCCCUGGCUGUUGCUAAGGUCUGGGAGUUCGGGGGGGGCACACAGGCCUGGCGGGUCCCGCACCCCCGCUCUCANNNNNNNNNNNNNNNNNNNNNNNNNNNNNNNNNNNNNNNNNNNNNNNNNNNNNNNNNNNNNNNNNNNNNNNNNNNNNNNNNNNNNNNNNNNNNNNNNNNNNNNNNNNNNNNNNNNNNNNNNNNNNNNNNNNNNNNNNNNNNNNNNNNNNNNNNNNNNNNNNNNNNNNNNNNNNNNNNNNNNNNNNNNNNNNNNNNNNNNNNNNNNNNNNNNNNNNNNNNNNNNNNNNNNNNNNNNNNNNNNNNNNNNNNNNNNNNNNNNNNNNNNNNNNNNNNNNNNNNNNNNNNNNNNNNNNNNNNNNNNNNNNNNNNNNNNNNNNNNNNNNNNNNNNNNNNNNNNNNNNNNNNNNNNNNNNNNNNNNNNNNNNNNNNNNNNNNNNNNNNNNNNNNNNNNNNNNNNNNNNNNNNNNNNNNNNNNNNNNNNNNNNNNNNNNNNNNNNNNNNNNNNNNNNNNNNNNNNNNNNNNNNNNNNNNNNNNNNNNNNNNNNNNNNNNNNNNNNNNNNNNNNNNNNNNNNNNNNNNNNNNNNNNNNNNNNNNNNNNNNNNNNNNNNNNNNNNNNNNNNNNNNNNNNNNNNNNNNNNNNNNNNNNNNCCCCCCCCGGGGGCGGGCUGGCAGGUGCGGGGGUGGGAGCCGUCUCCGUGGGAGCAGCCUUGCCAAAGGUCCGGCUGCUGACGUCGGAGAGCGCCCGCUCCUGUCAAUGAAGGCAGCGGCAGCCUGGGGACGGUCUGGCAACGAGGCUACAGACGUCAUCGCCUCCUGUUGGACGCGGGGGGUGUCCGAGCAGCGGCUCCGGCUUAAAGCAAAACUCUCCAAGUUCCAGGCAGCCGCGGAGAGUCGUUCCUGAGAGCACAUGCACCCCCAGAUGCCCAGUGUGCGCGGCACACGGGCUGGCACACGCGCGCGCGCACACACACACGCACACACACGCGCGCACACUCGCACUCCUGUUCUGCAUAGAUGUGUGGGUCCAAACUUGCGGCAGCACCGAGAGAAUGGGCUGAGAUGGACCGGUCCUCCUUGGCGCCUGGAGGGCUCAGCGCGGCUUCCCUCGACACCCCCAGAUGGAAGGGAGGGAAAGAAGACCGUGACACCCCGUUUAGAGUUGUCCCCCCCUUUUCUGAGAAGAUCGGCGCGAAAGCCGGGGUGCCCGAAGCCUUUGGAAUAUGCCUGCUUGGCGGAGCCGGAGCGAGCGUUCUUGGAGAGGUCCCGAACUUGGGCCACCGGCCUCGCCUGGCAACUCGUUUUGCGCAGUUUUCGUCGGAGCCCUGGACCCGCCGCGCUCCUGGCCGGCUGGCGCCGCCACCCCCACCUUUUCCCUCUCCCUUUUUCAAAGGCACGAACUUGAAAUGAAGCGGAGACCAGGUCCGCGCCUCAGCACACUUUGGCGGGUAAGUUGAUAGUUGCUUUUACCUAUUAUUUAACCCUUGGGAGUCCGGAAAAACUUCAUUCGAACCUUUUCCCCGACUCUCCCCCCCGCCCCCGUCCCCCCAUCAUUUACGUCCAUCCUCUUUGUCAGUGAGAUGGGGCGCGAGCGUGUCGUUUGGGAACACGGCUGCUCCGGAGGAGAGUGGCUCGCGGGAGGGGGGAGGACGAAGCCCGAGUCUGUAGAAGCCAGACUCAGGGCUAUGAGACUGCAGCCAACUCCGGGUGCUGAGUGAGUGCCUCCGGGCCACUGCCUGGCCCGAGUUUCCAGCUCCAAGUUCCCCGCGAAGGCUGCCCUCCAGCCCCGUGAUGCCAGCCUGGCAGGUGCCGGGUGAAGCGGCCAAGAGGAGCUGCUGGUGUUCCAGCACCUUCCUUCCUCCCUUCUUGGCUUCCCCCUGGAGUUCUGGAUGGGGGCAAAUCCCCCUCCUCCUCUCUCCAUCCCUCACCUCUGCUGCCACUCUCCUCUGCCCCCCCCACCUCCCCCCCCAGUCCCUUUCUCAAAAGCCUACGUGAUGUCAUCGGGAGGAGGGUUCGGAACCUCCAGCACCUGAAGGCAUCACUGUAUCGCACCCUGCAGCAUUUGAUUUUCUUCAUUCCACCCAAUUCUCCUUGCAGUCCACGGAAAGCACUCCCCACUAAAUAUCACAAACAGUGUCCCCCCUCCCACACCCCCCCCCGCUCUUUCAUGAACGGACAGGGCCAGGGGUCCCAGUACAGGGAACCCCCCCCUCCCCCUCCCAGAUUAGGAAGAAAUCAGCUGAGGGGCCCCGAGGAGCCUCUCCUCUCUGGGUGCUGAGCUCUCCUCCGCUCUCAGCUCACCCUUCUAGUGGAAAGAAGAAGAGGCAGGAGGAAGGAGAGAGCCGGCCGGUGCCAACAGCCCCCUAGACGUGGAGCUGCUCGGCUGAACGGAGGGAUCUGUGCGCCAGUCCCUGCCUCCCCUGCCUCCCCUGCCUCCCCUGCCCUGCCUGCCCUCCAUCUCCCUCCCCGGUCUCUACUCCCCACCCCUUCCGUCGCGCUUGCUCCCCUCCACCUAACCCCACCUUCGCUCUCCUCUCCGAGGGGGGAGGGCCCGGGGUGAGGAAAGAAACCCCCAAAGCCCCAGUCCCGGGCAGAGAUGUCGAAGAAACGCAAAGCCCUCGAGGGUGGAGGAGGUGGAGGAGAGUCCCCGAGCCCAGAGGAGGAGCCCAGUGCCCGGCCUGGGGGCCGAGGCAGCCCGGAGCAAGGU